rnacentral:rRNA from 1 species
CAGUAGCCGCGGGAAUACGUAGGUGGCAAGCGUUGUCCGGAAUUAUUGGGCGUAAAGGGCUCGCAGGCGGUUUCUUAAGUCUGAUGUGAAAGCCCCCGGCUCAACCGGGGAGGGUCAUUGGAAACUGUUAAACUUGAGUGCAGGAGAGAAAAGUGGAAUUCCUAGUGUAGCGGUGAAAUGCGUAGAGAUUAGGAGGAACACCAGUGGCGAAGGCGGCUUUUUGGCCUGUAACUGACACUGAGGCGCGAAAGCGUGGGGAGCAAACAGGAUUAGAUACCCCGGUAGUCCCUGUCUCUUAUAC